rnacentral:rRNA from 1 species
AUACGGAGGAUGCGAGCGUUAUCCGGAUUUAUUGGGUUUAAAGGGAGCGUAGGCGGGAGCUUAAGUCAGCGGUUAAAUGGUGCGGCUCAACCGUGCCCUGCCGUUGAAACUGGGUUUCUUGAGAGUGCAAGAGGCGGAUGGAAUUCAUGGUGUAGCUGGUAAAUGCUUAGAGAUCACACAGAAUAUCGAUUGCGAAGGCAGCUCACAAAGCCAAGAUUGACGCUGAGGCACGAAAGUGUGGGGAUCAAACAGGAUUAGAUACCCUGGUAGUCCACACUGUAAACGAUGAUAACUCGCUGUCGGCGAUAUACAGUCGGUGGCCAAGCGAAAGCGAUAAGUUAUCCACCUGGGGAGUACGACCGCAAGGUUGAAACUCAAAUGAAUUGGCGGGG